AUGACAUAAAAGUUUAUCCCAGCCCAGACUGACUCCUGCAGCACCCUUGAGAUGAAAAUUUAAUUGUGCAAUAAUCAGCCUCUCUAUGUUGGUUCUACAGACGAUAAGGAGAGAGCUCACAAUGCUCACAUGUUUUUCAAAAUCCUUUCUUAUCAAGUACUGUACUAUUUUUGCUUCAUUCAUCCUUUGUUUUAUCUUUUCUGCUCCAGCUGCGUUUGGCCUUGGCUUCUACAUUCAUUUCAAAAUUUCUCUAUUUCUCCGGUUUGUAUGUGGAUCAGAAAUUGCCAUUGGAAGAGAAGUAAACUAACAAGGGAAGAGCUUUAUGCAACCAAUAUGUUUGAUGAAAUUCCAAUUUAUUUGAUGAAAGAUAGCUUCAGCAAGUCGGUUGACCACUUCUCCGCAAUCAAUCAAGCUUCUUAUCAAUGGACACUGAUUAGAUUAGUAUAACUUGAUUUCUACCACUUGUUGCACUUUGAAUUCCCAUUUUGUUGAUGGGAGAGAAAGUAUGAACUCAAGGGAGAAGACUGGUCGUAAUGGAAAAAAGAGAAAGGGGCAGGGGGGAGGCAAUUGAUGAAAAUGACAUCAAACGACUAUUGCCAAGGUGAUGCUAACUUGAUAGGUGAACAUUAAUUAGGUGUGGACUAAUAUUAGGCAUAUAUUGUGGGUUUUGUAUAGCUUUUAAUUGGGUUAUAUUCCUAUAUGCCCACGCACACAUACCCCUAUCAGUAUUGCACGAGCAAGCGACAAUAUGUGUAUGUGUGCAAAGUAUUGCGUUAGAACAUAUUUUACUUAAAGAUAUGUGUAUUGCCAAGUCAUUUUUCCUAUUUGGUUGAACAGAGUUCAUGAAAUGGAACGCAAGCUUCAUUGAUAA